ACAUCGAAUAAUGUUCAAAUCAGGGCAAGCGUAUCUAUCUCCUCAUUCACCAUUUCUCUGGAAACAUUCAAAAUCCUUUCCUCUAGCUCUUUAAAAUAUACAGCAGCCCAUGGUUGCCAACAGUCACCUUCCUGAGCUCAAUUCUGUCUAAUUAUAGCUCAGUGGCCGGGCCUCCCCGCCGGAAUCUUCCAGAGACCUGCGCUGGGACUCGAGUCUUCUCUGACCCCAGGCUGGGGCCUCGGGAUGUGGCCUGGCUGGAGAGCUGGGGCUCUCCUGGGGAAGAGCAGGGAGUGCAGGGCCUGCUGGAGACCAGCUGUCUAAGGCAGCCCACGAGCUCUAUAUGAGAAUGUGGCUCUAAGCAGCCUCUGCCGGGCCCCUCAGGAGGACAGGUCCAAGAACCGAUCCCCAGGUCCCGACCUGCUCCCCCUCAUCCUGGGCUGGUGUCCUGUCCUUGAAAUCACCCACAUUUCCUCACUAAGGCAGGAGCCCAGCAGGAGGCUUGUGACAACCACCCACGUCGCUGCUGGGCCUCGGGGCCAGGCCACCAGCCAGGGCAGGAGGAAGUCUCAGGGCAGGCUCAGACUCGGGGGCUCCAGGGCCCAGGGUGCUCUCUCCGGUCAUGUGGCCUGCAGCCUGCCUCCUGCCAUGACAGCCACCCUGAGUCACCCCACUGCAAGAUAAGGCCACAGCCUCUGUCUGAAAUCAAGAAGCCCUGGACCAGUGAGGGCCCUGCAGGGACCCGAGUGCCUCUGCUGUAGGCUCUGGGGCCGCUGGGCGUCAGGCUGGAGGGCGGCAACCGCACACGUGACACCAGAAGAGGGCGUCUGCGGGUGAUCUCCUCGGCCUUGUUCCAUCCCCUCAGGUACUCUGGUUUGCUUUCAGGAUGGCAGAAUCCAUGGUUCCCUCUUAUAGUAUGUGCCCAGGAAGGCCUGGAGUGGAGGGAGGAAGCUCAGUGUGGAAAAACCUAGUGAAAGUGAGUCAGCUUCCAGUGCUCAGCAGGGAGGGCUCGCCCCUGAGUCUCAGUUUCUCCAUCUGUGAAAUGAGUAACAGCGUCCAUCUCACACAUCCUGGUGAGAGCUGGCAGGGCACCCGGGGCCAGCAGAGGUCCCUAGAGGCAGAGCCAGAGACAAGGGCUCAGGGCAAGUGGCUUACUGGGGAACUCAGAAAACAGGGAGAAGAGUGGAACCACGAAGCAAGAAACCAUCCCUGCUGGAGCCGGCCUUGCCUUAGUGUGUGGGCAGCCCCUGCCCUCCGGACUCCAGUGCCAAGGGAGCAGGCGGUCCAGGCCCCAAGCUGGCCCUGGCUCCCGUUUCUUCUGGCCCAGACAGGUUUUCGCUUUAUUUUAAUUACUUGAAGACAUUUGAAAAUCAGGAGAAUUUAGGGGGAAAACUCCAGCUUUCUGACUUCUCUAAAAAAAUGUGUCAACCAGCCGCAUGUCCACCUGGCACCCCUGAGCUGCAGCCCAUGCCCACUUGCUACCAGCACCACGCUUGUUGGCCUCUAGGACCCCCUGACUGUGUCGCGGCUUCCUCUUCAGCUUCGGGAGGCCCUCGAGACCCAGGUGAGUGGUUAUGUCUCCAUCUUGCGCAUGCUUGAACCAUGCCAAGACCAGCACCACCGGCAGACAUGAACGGCACUCAGUGAUAGACGCCGCUGGAUGCCCCUUUCUGGGCCCUUUCUGUGCAUGUGCAGACGCUGGGGCCAGUCUGCUCCAGAUGGGAGUGCCAGGGUCAGCCGGGCUCCUGAGACCCAGCCCACACCCACCAGCACCCAGAUCCUUGAGCUGCAACCAGACCCCACACAGGCCCGUGGGCCCACUCGACCUGUGGGCCUUCUCAUUGUCUAACUGGGGCAUCACCUCGCCCUCCCCCCAGGCCCCAGGCCCCUUCUCCAGCCGUACCAGCUCAGGCCGUCUCCUCUCAGCAGUGCCUUCCUGCUCUGCCUGCGCGGGAGCCUUGCUGAGUCUGCACUGCGCUGUGGGAUGUGAGAACAGGAAACGUCUCCAUCCCGCUCCUGGGGCUCCGUCGCCCACCCACAGAGAUGCCUCUCCUCCACGCUCCUGACAGAGCGGCGAUGUCGCCUCAGCUCACACCGUGGAGAGGAGAUUUAUUACCUUACAGGGCAUUCUGUUCUACAUUUCAGAGCUCUGAGUUUUAGCAAAUCUUUCUUUAAACCUACCUGAAAUCUCCUACAGUUUUAUAUCAUUCACCCGUCAGCAGACGCGUUGAGUGCAGAUUCGGUUACCACAUAACAUGAGACGUGGCAGCAAACCACUCAAGCUGAUCUACCGGUGAAAGGUAUCGCCGGGAAAAGGGUUUCAAAUGAGGCUUAUUCCAAAGCUCAAAAAUGCGACAACAGACCGAGUCCACCUGACCUUGAGCUCUGCAGCAGCUCCUGGGUCAACCCUUGUGAUAGCAAAAGGGUUGCUGCAGUUCCAGGCUUCUCAUUCAUCCUCGGUGAAAGCACAGCAGGUCUUUUGUUAGCUCCUCCCACAAGUCCUAAGCUUACUCUUGUUGGCCCAAAAGUGAACCAAUCACUGCAGCCAGAGGAAGGGGAUAAGGGGCUGGGGGUGGGGUGUCUCCUAUCUACACCUAAGGACCUGAGGUGAGGAAGGGGUACGUUCUUAAAGGAAGAUGAGGAUGCUCUUGGCUGGAGUGGUGGGGAGCUGGACAUUGAAAGGCCCCACAGAUGUGUCCUCGUGAGUCUUUUCUUUUUGACAGUUGCCAUGUUGGUUGCAGAAGACAGCACACUGAAUGAAACUCAAUCCCUGCCCGAGAAAGCCGCUGGCUUGGGGGCAGUCGUUACUGCUCAGAGUUCUCAUCAUCCCAAGACGCCUCUUUGACGUCUUUUCAAAAUCUUUGCCACAUUAAAUGUCCCUGGUUCACCUACUCAUAAGCCUUCCAACUAGA